rnacentral:rRNA from 1 species
AUUGAACGCUGGCGGCAUGCUUUACACAUGCAAGUCGAACGGUAACAGGCCGCAAGGUGCUGACGAGUGGCGAACGGGUGAGUAAUGCAUCGGAACGUGCCCAGUCGUGGGGGAUAACGCAGCGAAAGCUGUGCUAAUACCGCAUACGAUCUGUGGAUGAAAGCGGGGGACCUUCGGGCCUCGCGCGAUUGGAGCGGCCGAUGUCAGAUUAGGUAGUUGGUGGGGUAAAGGCUCACCAAGCCGACGAUCGGUAGCUGGUAUGAGAGGACGACCAGCCACACUGGGACUGAGACACGGCCCAGACUCCUACGGGAGGCAGCAGUGGGGAAUUUUGGACAAUGGGCGCAAGCCUGAUCCAGCAAUGCUGCGUGCAGGAAGAAGGCCUUCGGGUUGUAAACUGCUUUUGUACGGAGCGAAAAGGCUCCCUCUAAUACAGGGGGCUCAUGACGGUACCGUAAGAAUAAGCACCGGCUAACUACGUGCCAGCCGCCGCAGUAAUAC